rnacentral:rRNA from 2 species
UCAGAGUUUGACCUGGCUCAGAUUGAACGCUGGCGGCAUGCCUUACACAUGCAAGUCGAACGGCAGCACGGGAGCAAUCCUGGUGGCGAGUGGCGAACGGGUGAGUAAUACAUCGGAACGUGUCCUGUAGUGGGGGAUAGCCCGGCGAAAGCCGGAUUAAUACCGCAUACGCUCUACGGAGGAAAGGGGGGGAUCUUAGGACCUCUCGCUACAGGGGCGGCCGAUGGCAGAUUAGCUAGUUGGUGGGGUAAAGGCCUACCAAGGCGACGAUCUGUAGCUGGUCUGAGAGGACGACCAGCCACACUGGGACUGAGACACGGCCCAGACUCCUACGGGAGGCAGCAGUGGGGAAUUUUGGACAAUGGGCGCAAGCCUGAUCCAGCAAUGCCGCGUGUGUGAAGAAGGCCUUCGGGUUGUAAAGCACUUUUGUCCGGAAAGAAAACCUCUGGGUUAAUACCCCGGGGGGAUGACGUACC